UACAGAGGUCUCAAGCGUUGUUCGGAUUCAUUGGGCGUAAAGGGUGCGUAGGUGGCGCCGUAAGUCAGGUGUGAAAUCUCGGGGCUCAACCCCGAAACUGCACUUGAUACUGCGGUGCUCGAGUACUGGAGAGGAGAUUGGAAUUUACGGUGUAGCGGUGAAAUGCGUAGAUAUCGUAAGGAAGACCAGUGGCGAAGGCGGGUCUCUGGACAGUUCCUGACGCUGAGGCACGAAGGCCCAGGGGAGCAAACGGG
rnacentral:rRNA from 1 species